GUUUAUAAUGUUUCUUUAUUCACAUAAACAAAAAUUUUAAAUUUUGACUCUGGUAACUCUAUAUCCUAAGCAAAGAACUUCCCAGGUAGAGUGGCUAUGUGUAGGUAUAUAUUUUAAUAAUUUGUUUUGAAAUGAUCUCAAAUGUAUACAAAAGUUGCCCAAAUCGUGUAAGGAAGUCCCAUGUCCCCUGCACUCAGAUUCCCAAAUAGUUAACACUUUAUUGCACUUGUUUCAUUGCUCACUGUGUGUGUAUGCGUACAUGUGUGCAUGCAUGUGCAUAUGUGUAUGUACAUGUGUAUGUAUCCCUUGUUAGUCUUUUUCUGGACCUUUUGAGAGUCAAGAGAGCAAAUUGUAGAGAUAGUUUCUCAUCACUCCUGAACACACCAGUGUUUAUUUUCCCCUAAACAGGGACACUCUCCUACCUAACAACAAACAAACUUCCUUAUCAGGGAUUCAAUAUUGGUACAACAUACCAUCCAGUUCAGACGAGAUCGGGCAUGUUCGCGGUGGUAUGUGAUUCACAGAGCUAAUUCACAUUUUGCCAACUGUCCUAACAAUGUUGUUUUCCUUUCUGGUCCAGAAUGCUAUACAGAGAUACAUAUUGCAUUUAGUUGUCAUAUAACCUCAGUCAGAGACAGUUCCCAGUCUUUCCUGUCCUUGGAUGGUCUACAACCUGAGUUCCUUUGAUGGUAGGAAAACCAAAAGGGAUACUUUGUGGAUUUUAGUGUGUUUCACCAGGAGGCUCACAAUGUAGACUCCUCCCAACACUGAUGAUGUUAACCAUGAUCACCUGAUCAUGUUGGUUGCUUCCAUUCAGUGUUUUCCCCUCUGAAAUCGAGUAGUAUUCCAUGGGAGAAGCAUUCCAAAAUCACCCAGUAUUCUAUGCCUCACAGAACAUCUACCCACCAGCCUUAGCGUCCACUGAACACUCCUGCCUGAGUCAUCCUCCUCAGUAGUUGUCAAAUGGUAGUUCUCUAUUUCCAUCCUUCUUGCUACACUUCUGUGUUGGCAUCCUACUUCGAAGGAGUUUUCCUGUUUCUCUAUAUCAACACGGACUUGCAUAUUCAAUGGAUUGUAAUCCGUUAUGGUCGUUGUUUACUUCAUGCUCAAAUUGUCCCUCAUUUGGCCCAAGGGAGUCCCUUCAAGCUGGCUCUUAAUACUGCAACAAUUUAAAGUAUACAUAUUGCUAAAAUUCAUCUGCGUUGUGCAGUUCAUUAACUUUGACUGCCUGUAAUAUGCCUCUUUGUGAAUAUGCCACAGUUUAUUGGUCCACUCAUCCACUAUUCCGUCGACGGGCACUUGGGUUGUUUCCAGGUUGUUGCUAUUGUGUUUUGCUAUUUUAGCUCUUUAAUGUUAAAUUUUGAAUAUGAAAAGUUUGUAUUAACAUCAUAAACUUCAGGUCUGUUUAUUGUACAAAUAUUGAGCACCUAGGAGCAGGGUCAUUUUGCACUCUCAUCAACAGUGCGUGACAGGCUCAUUUUUAAAAUGUUGCAUAUUUCACGCAGAAAUAUUUAAAUGAUGUUUUCAAAUCAGUUUAAUAAAGGCCUUUUUCUUUAAACUUCCUUAUGCUUUUUUCCCUACUAUUACGGAGAAAUAUUGAAAUAAAAGAGUCCAGAAAGCAAAAUGUAAAGAUGGAAACCUGUGCACUUAACCCAAACGCUUGCCAAGGUAAAGCAUCCGCAGAAACAGCAGGGACUCGAAAUGACGGGGCUACAGCCGGCGCUAGGGCGCAGGCGCAGAAGCUCAGGGUCGCGCUCCCUGCUGUCGUCCCCAGAGGGUUAUCGCGAGUCUUGGAAUAAACUUGCUGCGAUUGACAAAAGUAAGUUCUCGCGAGAGGUAGUUGGUUGCUAUAGUUGUCAAAAACAUAACUGAGGCUGCUGCAGAGACCAAAGAAAACCAGAGGGACUUUUCCCAGUUGGUGAUAUGGAGCAAGUGCCAUCAACAGGCAGAUUCGUGCAGAUCACCGUGACAGAGGGAUAUGAUUUGAAAGGUUUUAAAGGAGAUACUCCAGUUACCUUUAUUCGGGCAGAAUUCAAUCAAGUGGUUCUGGGAGACUCUGCAAAAACUACUGUUUCUCCAGAAGGAAGUGCAAAAUACAACUUCACUAGCAGUUUUGAGUUUAAUCCUGAAGGAGGAAUCACUUUAGAUGACCUCGCUCACAAACCUGUGUUCUUAACUGUGACUGAAGUUUUACCAAAGGAAAAGAAACAGAAAGAAGAGAAGACCUUAAUUCUUGGUCAGGCGGUGGUGGAUCUUCUUCCCUUACUGGAAGGACAGAGUUCAUUUCAAACAACAGUUCCAUUGCACCCUGUGCAAGGCUCACCCUUAGAAACUCCUAGAUCAAGUGCUAAGCAGUGCAGUCUUGAAGUUAAAGUAUUAGUGGCAGAGCCUUUACUGACCACAGCCCAGAUCUCAGGGGGCAAUCUACUAAAGGUCACGUUGGAGGCUGCUUACUCUGUGCCUGAAUCCUUCAUUCCAACAGGUCCUGGGCAGAACUACAUGGUCGGUCUGCAAGUUCCAUCACUUGGAGAGAAGGACUAUCCCAUUUUAUUUAAGAAUGGAACUCUGAAGCUUGGAGGGGAAAGAGAACCUGUUCCCCGGCCCAAAAAGUGGCCAAUUGCCAACAUUCUGGCUCCAGGAGCUAAUAACAUUCCUGAUGCAUUCAUUGUUGGUGGUCCCUAUGAAGAAGAAGAAGGAGAACUCAACCAUCCUGAGGACAGUGAAUUUAGGAAUCAAGCAGAGUGCAUAAAGAAAAGGAUUAUUUGGGACUUGGAAAGUCGCUGCUACCUUGAUCCUUCUGCAGUGGUCAGUUUUCAGAAGCGAAUUGCCGAUUGCCGGCUUUGGCCUGUAGAGAUCACAAGAGUUCCUCUGGUCACUGUACCCAAAGGGAAAGCUGGCAAAACUGAAAAGACUGAUGAAGAAGGUCAGCUUUCGUUUCAUGGUGUGGCUUAUGUUAAUAUGGUCCCAUUGUUGUAUCCAGGUGUGAAGAGAAUUCGGGGAGCUUUUCAUGUUUACCCUUACCUGGACAGCGUAGUCCAUGAAAAGACCAAAUGUUUACUGAGCUUGUUCCGGGAUAUUGGCCAUCACUUGAUUCAUAAUAAUAAAAUAGGAGGAAUUAAUUCUCUGCUGUCCAAGCAAGCUGUUUCUAAGAAUCUGAAAGAAGAUAAACCAGUGAAAGAAAAGGAUAUAGAUGGAAGGCCUAGGCCUGGGGAUGUGCAGGCACCUAGUAUAAAAUCUCAGAGCUCAGAUACUCCUUUGGAAGGUGAACCCCCUCUAAGUCACAAUCCUGAAGGACAGCAAUACGUAGAAGCAGGGACAUACAUUGUGUUGGAAAUUCAGCUGGACAAAGCUUUGGUUCCAAAGCGAAUGCCAGAGGAGCUAGCCAGAAGGGUCAAGGAAAUGAUUCCUCCAAGGCCUCCUCUUACCCGUCGGACAGGAGGAGCUCAGAAGGCAGUGAGUGACUACCACACACAGAUCAAGAAUAUUUCUAGAGCCAUUCUAGAUGAAUACUACAGAAUGUUUGGAAAACAGGUGGCCAAACUGGAGAGUGAUAUGGAUAGUGAAACCUUGGAGGAGCAGAAGUGCCAGCUCAGCUAUGAACUUAAUUGCUCUGGAAAAUACUUUGCUUUCAAAGAACAACUCAAGCAUGCUGUGGUAAAGAUUGUGAGAGAGAAAUACUUGAAGACAACAUCAUUUGAAAGUCAGGAGGAACUGCAGACAUUUAUCAGUGAGCUCUAUGUGUUCUUAGUAGAUCAGAUGCAUGUAGCCCUAAACCAGACCAUGCCAGAUGAUGUCCAAGGCACUAUUGCAACCAUUUUUACAAGCAGUGAACAGCUUCGACUCUUUGCAUUUGAAGCAGAAGUCAAUGAGAACUUUGAGAUGGCAGCAGCAUAUUAUAAAGAGAGAUUGGUCCGUGAGCCCCAGAAUCUGGAUCACUGGUUGGACUAUGGUGCCUUCUGCCUCCUAACUGAAGACAACAUCAAAGCACAAGAGUGUUUUCGGAAAGCUCUUUCCCUCAACCAGAGUCAUAUCCACAGCUUGUUGCUGUGUGGUGUCCUGGCUGUCCUGUUGGAGAACUAUGAGCAAGCAGAAAUUUUCUUUGAGGAUGCUACUUGCUUGGAACCAACUAAUGUUGUAGCCUGGACUUUACUUGGUUUGUACUAUGAAAUUCAAAACAAUGAUAUUCGAAUGGAAAUGGCAUUUCAUGAGGCCUCCAAACAGCUUCAGGCACAGAUGCUUCAGGCACAAGUAACAAAGCAAAAGAGCGCUGGUGUUGUAGAAGACAUUGAGGAAAGAGGGAAGAGAGAAUCUAGUUUAGGCCCUUGGGGAAUCACAAAUGGUUCUGCAACAGCAAUCAAGGUGGAAGCCCCAGCAGGACCAGGAGCUGCAUUAUCUAUUCUAGACAAAUUUCUUGAAGAAUCCUCCAAACUGCAGUCUGAUUCACAAGAACCCAUUUUGACUACACAAACUUGGGAUCCAAGUAUAAACCAAAAACCAUCUAACACAUUUAUCAAGGAGAUACCAACAAAGAAAGAAGCAUCAAAAUGUCAAGAUUCAUCAGCUUUUCUGCAUCCCGGCCUUCAUUAUGGUGUUUCUCAAACUACCACCAUCUUCAUGGAGACCAUACGUUUCUUGAUGAAAGUCAAGGCUGUGCAGUAUGUGCACAGAGUGCUUGCACAUGAGCUGUUAUGCCCUCAAGGAGGCCCCAGCUGUGAAUAUUACUUGGUGCUGGCCCAGACACACAUUCUUAAGAAGGACUUUGCCAAGGCAGAGGAAUACCUUCAACAAGCAGCCCAGAUGGACUACCUGAACCCCAAUGUCUGGGGCCUGAAGGGCCAUCUCUAUUUUCUGAGUGGAAAUCAUUCUGAGGCCAAAGCAUGCUAUGAACGAACCAUUAGCUUUGUAGUGGAUGCUUCUGAGAUGCACUUCAUCUUCCUGCGGCUGGGGCUCAUCUAUCUGGAAGAGAAAGAGUAUGAAAAGGCAAAGAAAACCUACAUGCAAGCCUGUAAGAGAUCACCUUCAUGCCUUACCUGGCUAGGACUGGGAAUCGCCUGCUAUCGGUCUUCAAAGAGGCAAACAUCGUCUUGUUCCUGCCUAAUUUCUUCAGCUGGAGGAGCUCACAGAGGCUGAGGAUGCUCUCUCUGAAGCCAAUGCACUGAACAACCACAAUGCUGAAGUAUGGGCAUAUCUGGCUCUGGUCUGCCUGAAAGUUGGGCGGCAAUUAGAAGCUGAGCAGGCCUACAAGUACAUGAUUAAGCUGAAAUUGAAAGAUGAGGCUCUGCUUGCAGAGAUCCACACACUACAGGAAACAGUUGGCUUUGGAAAUCCAUCUUUCUGAUACCCCUCCAGCUGAACAAUUUUCCGUAUGGGACUCUUGAGUUCCUUUCCUUCCCAGAUAGUUUCACCAUAUGAAGUCUGGAGCUGGAGAACGAAAGAAUCUUCACCAUAAACAGAGACCCAUUCAUUUAUUUCCAUUGGCUGUGUUACUGGAUGUUUUACUGGUUGACAAGAAACUGGGUCACAAUAAAAAAUGAAGAUAUGAAACUCAAAA